rnacentral:rRNA from 1 species
GAUGAACGCUGGCGGCGUGCCUAAUACAUGCAAGUCGAGCGAACGGACGAGAAUCUUUCCUCUCUGAUGUUAGCGGCGGACGGGUGAUUAACACGUGUAUAACCUACCUAUAAGACUGGGAUAACUUCGGGAAAGCGUAUCUAAUACCGGAUAAUAUUUUGAACCGCAUGGUUCAAAAGUGAAAGACGGUCCUGCUGUCACUUAUAGAUGGAUCCACGCUGCAUUAGCUAGUUGGUAAGGUAACGGCUUACCAAGGCAACGAUGCGUAGCCGACCUGAGAGGGUGAUCGGCCACACUGGAACUGAGACACGGUCCAGACUCCUACGGGAGGCAGCAGUAGGGAAUAUUCCGCAAUGGGCGAAAGCCUGACGGAGCAACGCCGCGUGAGUGAUGAAGGUCUUCGGAUCGUAAAACUCUGUUAUUAGGGAAGAACAGAUGUGUAAGUAACUGUGCACAUCUUGACGGUACCUAAUCAGAAAGCAACGGCUAACUACGUG